GGAAGCUACGACGACGCCGGUCGCUUCUCUUUUCGAGCUAACAAAAAUAAUACGGUUCGGGCCGAGUAAAUCUUGUUUCGUGGAAUUUCUUCCUCCGGGAGUUGCUAUUUCGAUGUAUACAAGAAGGACAAAGCGAGAGCGUGUUCCAUCUCAGUCCUAAUAUUCUAGUAGCCUGUCCGAGUCGUCGGCUGUUGAUACCAGGUCCAGAUGUGGUCUCAGAUUGAAAAAUACGUUGAGAAGAAAUGAAUAAUGGAAGAGUAUGUAGGGAAGAAAUAAAUUGAAAACUAUGCAGGGAAGAAAUAAAUUG